AUUCAUGCGGAGUUUUCCAUCAUUUUUUCGUGAUUUUCAACCCAUCUUAUUUCGAUCCAGCAGACUAUCCAUAAAUCGUCGUUUAUCGAGUUUGCAAAAAACCGGCAAUUCACUUUCCUUGUCUCGCUCGCGCCACGCGUUUCUUUGGUGCAUUGUUUCGAUGGCAGUAGGCGGCGUUACGCUGCGAAGACGCCCGAAGCAAUCGCGAAGUUGCUUUUGCCUCGUUUCGACAAUGCUGCCACAGUCGGCAAUCGCGGUCCCUGCUACGAGUAGCAAGCGAUGUUUUCCGGGCGUUGAAAAAACCGCACAAGACAUCGGCCCAGAUAUAAGCAAAAAAAGUUUCUCUUUUUACCGCGUGCUGAGUGUGAAAGGGCUUUUUGUGCGUCAAUAUACCCCGUUUUUGUGCAUCGGCAAAUAAUGGAUCGUUUCUUGCGACUUAAAAGUGUCAAUGCGUCCGGCAGUUAAGUGAUUUUGCCUGUGGAAAAGCUGCAGUUGAACGCCUGCUGACUUUUGCUACCAACCCAGACAUUCCAAAACUUGUUCCUCGGCCUUCAGUACCCUAAAGUACAAAUUGGUCGUAGCACCUGUAUUUAGAUAUUAAUCCUGCAAGUUUUGCGAUUUUACCAUUGUGGAAUUUGAAUAACGUUGCCAAAAAUUCAAGAAAAACCUCGAGAAUAUCCUUACAGCUGAUAAAAGAAACGACCAAAUCUAGGCAGGUGAUAAGAAAGGAGUUUCAUCAAAUUCUGCAGGAGUAAGAUCGACGGCCGUAGCCGGUCGUUUACGGCUCUCAACUUCGGGGUGCUUAACUGAUUUGUUUGUGCGUUUUGGAUUUUAGUUUUUGUCAAAGUGAGUGACAAAAGUAGAGACCAAGAUGAAUAUGUAUCCGUGGUAUCGAGACUCAGUAGGUGGUCAUCAGCUGAGCCAAAUUUGUGCCCCCAUGGCGACAG